rnacentral:tRNA from 4 species
GGGGCUGUAGCUCAAUUGGCUAGAGUACCCGCCUGUCCAGCGGGUGGUUGCGGGUUCGAGUCCCGUCAGCCUCG